rnacentral:lncRNA from 1 species
UUUAAUUCAUAUAAAUUUCAUUUUUAAUCCAAAAAAUAUGGGACUUUCACCAAAAAUCUUUAAAUAUUUUUCUCUUCUAUAUUUUGAAUUAAAAUUAUUAUUUUUGGAUUAAUUUUUAUAUUUUUCAUGAAUUAAAUGAUUUUUGAUUUGUUUUUAAUAUUUUAAAAAUACUUCUGACUUUCCAAAAAUCAUGAAAUUUUGGGUCUAAGGUCCUUUGACCUUGUUUGACCUAGGAUAAAUCUCUUGGCAAUUUAUUUGGUGUUUUGAAG